rnacentral:rRNA from 1 species
UGGGGAAUAUUGCACAAUGGGCGCAAGCCUGAUGCAGCAACGCCGCGUGAGGGAUGACGGCCUUCGGGUUGUAAACCUCUUUCAGUAGGGAAGAAGCGAAAGUGACGGUACCUACAGAAGAAGCACCGGCUAACUACGUGCCAGCAGCCGCGGUAAUACGUAGGGUGCGAGCGUUGUCCGGAAUUAUUGGGCGUAAAGAGCUUGUAGGCGGUUUGUCGCGUCUGCUGUGAAAAUCCGGGGCUCAACCCCGGACUUGCAGUGGGUACGGGCAGACUAGAGUGUGGUAGGGGAGACUGGAAUUCCUGGUGUAGCGGUGAAAUGCGCAGAUAUCAGGAGGAACACCGAUGGCGAAGGCAGGUCUCUGGGCCACUACUGACGCUGAGAAGCGAAAGCGUGGGGAGCGAACAGG